UCUAGCGGUCACUAUUGUUUGUUAUUUUUGAUCUAAGGGAUAAAAAAAUCCUCUUCCUUUCAAUGCUUUACGUCAUCAAAACCGUAGUCAUCUUCCACGAAUCGCCUGCUCUUCUCAAGCGACACAACCCUAGAAUGGCGUCUCUCCUCUUUUCAAACAACACAACCUUAGAAUCGCGUCUCUUGUCAAUCUAUAUAUUUUCCGUUUGCUACACAUCAUUCAUCCAUCGUUCAUCAGUACAUCUUCCUCUUUCAGAAUCUCGCAAUUGAUUUUUACGUAAUCUCCUUUGUAAACUAAUGGACAAAUUCUCCCUAUCCCCAAUUCGAAAAGGGAACGGUUGGGAUUGUGUGAGGGGAGAUGGAGUGAAGCAUGUCAUUAGGCUGAGAACACUCUUUUUAUAUUAUUUAUUGAUCUCGGCUUCUUCUGUCUCUUUAAGUGGUACUUAAUUUCUCCACUUUUUUGCACUGCACUUAAUUACAGUGUCUGUGUACUCAAUGUUCGUUAUAUCAUAUUGAUUUUUCGAGAAACACCUAAUUCGGCCUCAUUUAUAAUUGAUACGUAAUGUUUUAUAGUAAAACUGAUAUUCGAAUCGCUAAAAACUUCAGUGUAUAGUCUUACUCUUCAGUGUACUAAUAAUAUCCAUCCUCAAGUACGCAACACUCACCUUUUGGUGCAUGAGUGUAAGUGGAGAAGUUUGGAUUCGAAGAAGUGGUUGAGUGAGAAUGCAUGAGCAAAGUUUCGAUGACAAAUGUUUGUAAUUUAGCGAUUCUUGUCACUUGUCAUGAAAAAUGGACUUAAAGAAGAAGGUCGAGAGGAGCAGGACGAGUGAACAUCAUGGCCAAGAGGAAGGAUAACUGGAUAAGAAUUCUCUUUAUAGAUACACUAUUUUCUCCGGUAAAGGUAAAAAAAUUAUGGCUAUUUGUGGCUAUAAAUUAUGCUUUGUCUGAGGUGUACGGAUUAGAUCAUUUUUUAUGUAUAUUUUCUUUACUAAUAAGAAAUAUGAAUAUGCU